UACGGGAGGAGCGAGCAUUAUUCGGAGUUACUGGGCGUAAAGGGUGUGUAGGCGGUUUUUUAAGUUUGGUGUGAAAUCUCCCGGCUCAACCGGGAGGGUGCGCCGAAUACUGAGGGACUAGAGUGCGGGAGAGGAAAGUGGAAUUCCUGGUGUAGCGGUGAAAUGCGUAGAUAUCAGGAGGAACACCGGUGGUGUAGACGGCUUUCUGGACCGUAACUGACGCUGAGACACGAAAGCGUGGGUAGCAAACAGG
rnacentral:rRNA from 1 species